rnacentral:rRNA from 1 species
CAAUAGCGUAUAUUUAAGUUGUUGCAGUUAAAAAGCUCGUAGUUGGAUUUCGGGUGGGACGCAGCGGUCUCGCAUUGCGUUUGUACUGCUGCAGCCCUCCUUCUUGCCGGGGGCGGCCUCUCGGACUUCACUGUCUGGGGAUCAGAAUCGGCGAUGUUACUUUGAGUAAAUUAGAGUGUUCAAAGCAAGCUUACGCUCUGAAUAUAAUAGCAUGGGAUAACACGACAGGACUCUGGCCUAUCGUGUUGGUCUAUAGGACCAGAGUAAUGAUUAAGAGGGACAGUCGGGGGCAUUCGUAUUCCGUUGUCAGAGGUGAAAUUCUUGGAUUUACGGAAGACGAACAUCUGCGAAAGCAUUUGCCAAGGAUGUUUUCAUUGA